rnacentral:tRNA from 1 species
ACUCUUAUAGUUGAACUACAACAAAAGCUUUUCACGCUCUCAGUUUGGGUGAAACUCCCAAUAAGAGUC